UACGAAGGGGGGCUAGCGUUGCUCGGAAUCACUGGGCGUAAAGCGCACGUAGGCGGCUUUCUAAGUCAGGGGUGAAAUCCUGGAGCUCAACUCCAGAACUGCCUUUGAUACUGGAGAGCUUGAGUCCGGAAGAGGUGAGUGGAACUCCGAGUGUAGAGGUGAAAUUCGUAGAUAUCAGGAGGAACACCGAUGGCGAAGGCAGCUCGCUGGGACGGUACUGACGCUGAGGCGCGAAAGCGUGGGGAGCGAACAGG
rnacentral:rRNA from 1 species